rnacentral:rRNA from 1 species
GACGAACCGUGCGAACGUUGUUCGGAAUCACUGGGCUUAAAGGGCGCGUAGGCGGCUCGACAAGUCGGGGGUGAAAUCUUUCGGCUCAACCGGAAAAGGGCCUCCGAUACUGUCGAGCUCGAGGGAGGUAGGGGCGGACGGAACUUCCGGUGGAGCGGUGAAAUGCGUUGAUAUCGGAAGGAACGCCGGUGGCGAAAGCGGUCCGCUGGCCCUCUACUGACGCUGAGGAGCGAAAGCGUGGGGAGCAAACAGG